GGCCUCGCAGCUCAGUUGGUAGGGCGUGCGCUGUAGAAAAGCGUAGGCGGCGUCCAUGCGUGGAUUCGAAUCCCACGGAGGCUA
rnacentral:tRNA from 1 species